AGCGUCACUUCCGGUUUGCGCUUUCCGCCUUCUGAGAGCCGCCCUGCAGGGCAGUUACCUUGGAAACCUCCUUGUUCACCAAUUAGAGUGGGCGAUGGGGACACGGUGAAGGAGAACUAAGGGGCCGUCAAUUGCCUAACCAGGCGUUCACAUUGCAGCUAUGGUCAGCGAACGCUUAAUCAGAAAGUCCACCCUCUGGAGGCAGCUAUUACAAGUGCUGCGGCUCUCUUUAUCGCCCAUCAGCACCAGAGCCAGAGAAAUUUGAGGGGAUCCAAGAGACACGGAGCUCACACUUGGACUGAGGAGGCAUAAAAACAUGGUUUAUUCCAAACACUGCAAUGUGGAACAGGAGAGCGGGAAGGGAGGUCGGUGGUGAGUGUGGACUCCCAAACCCUCUGCUCCACAACCCAGCUCCAGACCCGGCUGGAGAUCUGGGAAGAGGAGCCUUUUGGGGGGGUCUGCUGGGUCAUCACUGAAGGAUCACAAGUAAGGGGUAGAUUUGGAGAGGAUGUGGUUGGUGGCACCUGGGGCUGGUAGUGAGGUGCGACAGGUCGGGAAGUUUUGGCCGGAUGGAGGUUGGGAUCAACGCUGGGGCCGGGGGAGGCGGGGCUUCCGUUGGGGGCGUGUCCUAGGUCAAAACAGGGAAAAGCAACCGAGGGUGGAAAAGAAGGAAGGGUGUCACGGUUUGACGUCAAGGGUCACAGUCUGGUCAGGGCACAGUCGGGGGUUCGGGUCACAGUUUGGGGUCAGGGGUCACAGUCUGGGGUCGGAUGCCCAUUUUUAGGGGUCGGAAGUCACAGUCUGGGGUCAGGGAUUUCUGUGUGGCGGGGCCAAGGUCUGGGGUCACAGUUUGGCGAACGCGUCUCACAGUUGAGUCCCGAUGGAUGAAAGGUUAAAAACGGGCUUCCCCGGAGGCGUGGCUGGGGCCGGGGAGCUGCACAGUGAUGUGGGGGCCACGGCCCCGGGCGUGGGGGUGGGGCGCUGGCGCGGCGUGCCCCCCCCCAACUCCCGCCCCAUCUGGUGACGUUAA